GAUGAAGAACGCAGCGAAAUGCGAUAAGUAGUGUGAAUUGCAGAAUUCAGUGAAUCAUCGAAUCUUUGAACGCACAUUGCGCCCUUUGGUAUUCCUUAGGGCAUGCCUGUUCGAGCGUCAUUUAAACCUUCAAGCUCAGCUUGGUGUUGGGUGACUGUCCGCUUCACCGCGGACUCGCCUCAAAAUUAUUGGCGGCCGGUACAUUGGCUUCGAGCGCAGCAGAAACGCGAACUCGGGCCCGUCGUAUUGGCUCCCAGAAGCUAUCUUCACAAUUUUGACCUCGGAUCAGGUAGGGAUACCCGCUGAACUUAAGAAUAUCAAUAAGCGGAGGA
rnacentral:misc_RNA from 1 species